rnacentral:rRNA from 1 species
GUCGUGAGAUGUUGGUUAAGUCCCGCAACGAGCGCAACCCUCGCCAUUAGUUGCCAUCAUUAAGUUGGGCACUCUAGUGGGACUGCCGGUGAUAAGCCGGAGGAAGGUGGGGAGUGACGUCAAGUCAUCAUGGCCCUUACGGGCUGGGCUACACACGUGCUACAAUGGCGGUGACAGUGGGCAGCAACUCAGCAAUGGGGAGCUAAUCUCAAAAAGCCGUCUCAGUUCGGAUUGGGGUCUGCAACUCGACCCCAUGAAGUCGGAAUCGCUAGUAAUCGCGGAUCAGCACGCCGCGGUGAAUACGUUCCCGGGCCUU